UAUUCUGCAAGGGGCAGGACUAACUGCUGGAAACACAUUUGCAGCAGAGAACGCCAAUGGAAGAGUGAAAAGAUCCCUGUAACAGGAGGGUUGGCAGAGGUGGCUCAGCUUACACAUCUCUCCCGAGAGCUAGAUCCAGGCACUUGGCCGCGUGUGGAAACAUUGCUGGCAGAAACCCAGACAGAUCAUAGAUCCAUUGCUUUAGUAAGUUCCCCAGGAGAGAUCGUUUUUCUCUUCCAUUCUGAAUUACAUCACAUAUCCAAACAGCAAGACUUCCACGGAUGCAGAGAGCAGUGUGAAAUCCAUACACUCUGGAGAGAGCUCGGGAACGACUGAGCACCGUUUAUUCUGCCCGGGAACCCCACAGCCAUUUCUCUGGCUUCUUUCUUCUUUUCUCCCCCUCACUGGCUGAGCUUCAGACUGACUGAUGCAUAAGUUCCUCCAGAAUCUGCCUGGAGACCUCUGAACUGGCUCCUCAUCUGGCUGGGGAGGGUUCCCCUUCCAGGUGUGCUCCUGGCUGGACACAGGUAUCUUCUCAGCAGCACCUUCUCUGGCCAAGCUCCCAGGAGGCAGCUUUACCCUGUCCCGCAGGGCGCUGGCGCAUUGUCUGCAUAGGCAGCUCAGUCUCCCACUGUUUGUCAUCCGUCUCCUAGGGUGAGCACAGGUUUGACAAGGACAAAUACAUGGCCCAUUCUGUUGGCUGUUGAAUCCAAAACACCUGGACCAGGGGCAGCCAAGCAUCGGGUGCUCAGUAAAGAACUGUGGAAUCAA